rfam:Hortaea werneckii EXF-2000 unitig_448, whole genome shotgun sequence.
UCUGAUGAACAACAAAUAUUUCGCUGUGUUCUUACCGAAUAUCAUUGACGAAACUAUUCAAUCACCUUGGAGACCUGAUCA